rnacentral:rRNA from 1 species
UACGUAGGGUCCAAGCGUUAUCCGGAAUCACUGGGCGUAAAGCGUGCGUAGGUGGCGUGUUAAGUGUGAUGUUAAAUCGUGUGGCUCAACCAUAUCGAUGUGUCGCAUACUGGCAUGCUAGAGGACAGCAGAGGCAAGUGGAAUUAGUAGUGUAGCAGUGAAAUGCGUAGAUAUUACUAGGAACACCAAUGGCGAAGGCAGCUUGCUGGGCUACUCCUGACACUGAGGUACGAAAGCUGGGGAGCGAACAGG